GCCACUGUAGCACAAUGGUAGUGCGUUGCUUUCCUAUUCUCGACAGGUAGGCAGAGGCUGCGAGUUCGAGUCUCGUCAGUGGUU